AUGGAUUAAGAGCUUGCUCUUAUGAAGUUAGCGGCGGACGGGUGAGUAACACGUGGGUAACCUGCCCAUAAGACUGGGAUAACUCCGGGAAACCGGGGCUAAUACCGGAUAACAUUUUGAACCGCAUGGUUCGAAAUUGAAAGGCGGCUUCGGCUGUCACUUAUGGAUGGACCCGCGUCGCAUUAGCUAGUUGGUGAGGUAACGGCUCACCAAGGCAACGAUGCGUAGCCGACCUGAGAGGGUGAUCGGCCACACUGGGACUGAGACACGGCCCAGACUCCUACGGGAGGCAGCAGUAGGGAAUCUUCCGCAAUGGACGAAAGUCUGACGGAGCAACGCCGCGUGAGUGAUGAAGGCUUUCGGGUCGUAAAACUCUGUUGUUAGGGAAGAACAAGUGCUAGUUGAAUAAGCUGGCACCUUGACGGUACCUAACCAGAAAGCCACGGCUAACUACGUGCCAGCAGCGGCCGGUAA
rnacentral:rRNA from 1 species